rnacentral:misc_RNA from 1 species
GGGGAUUGUUAUGACUUUUGGUUGCUUUCUGGCUUGUUUGCUUGGAGGGUGGCUACUAGUUAGGCGGUUUUCGGGGAUGACUACCGUAAAGGUGCAUGAGUGGUUUUUGGUUUGUUUCCGGUGGAUGGCUCUCUGCUUUUGCAACAACUUCCACCUGGCAUACCGCUUCAGUUGUGCGUCAAGGUUGUUUAUCCUUGUGCGCUUUUGGUUGCCUGUGUUGCCUACCGAUCGGAUGGUACCGUGUGGUUAUAAGAAUGUCUCGUUUCAUUUUGCGUCAAACKUUUUGCGUGGGAUGAACAUYGAUGUUGUGUCUUUGAUCCAUCUUGAUGCUUAUGCAAUCAUGAUGUGGUCAUUGAUUAUUGCUUGGUCUUAUGGGUAUAGAAAAUGAUAUAGGCAUGGGUCUCACGUGAUCCUAACUUUUGCCCUUGUUGAACGUUGUUAUUCCUCUAAGACGGUCUUCCAGCCCGAAUUGGCUCGUGCAAUCGGGUAGGAUACGUUGUUGAAGAGUAAUGAUAGCGUUCUUGCUUUUCUAAAUCGAACUGCCUUGCCUGUAUUGGCUCGUACCAGCAGGUAGGCUAUGUCGAAGAGGGAUGCUACCUGGUUGAUCCUGCCAGUAGUCAUAUGCUUGUCUCAA